GACGAACGCUGGCGGCGUGCUUAACACAUGCAAGUCGAACGGAAAGGCCCUGCUUUUGUGGGGUGCUCGAGUGGCGAACGGGUGAGUAACACGUGAGUAACCUGCCCUUGACUUUGGGAUAACUUCAGGAAACUGGGGCUAAUACCGGAUAGGAGCUCCUGCUGCAUGGUGGGGGUUGGAAAGUUUCGGCGGUUGGGGAUGGACUCGCGGCUUAUCAGCUUGUUGGUGGGGUAGUGGCUUACCAAGGCUUUGACGGGUAGCCGGCCUGAGAGGGUGACCGGCCACAUUGGUACUGAGAUACGGCCCAGACUCCUACGGUAGGCAGCAGUGGGGAAUAUUGCACAAUGGGCGGAAGCCUGAUGCAGCAACGCCGCGUGCGGGAUGCCGGCCUUCGGGUUGUAAACCGCUUUCGCCUGUGACGAAGCGUGAGUGACGGUAAUGGGUAAAGAAGCACCGGCUAACUACGUG
rnacentral:rRNA from 1 species